rnacentral:rRNA from 1 species
GAUGAACGCUGGCGGCGUGCUUAACACAUGCAAGUCGAACGAUGAAGCCCAGCUUGCUGGGUGGAUUAGUGGCGAACGGGUGAGUAACACGUGAGUAACCUGCCCUUAACUCUGGGAUAAGCCUGGGACACUGGGUCUAAUACCGGAUAGGAGCGUCCACCGCAUGGUGGGUGUUGGAAAGAUUUAUCGGUUUUGGAUGGACUCGCGGCCUAUCAGCUUGUUGGUGAGGUAAUGGCUCACCAAGGCGACGACGGGUAGCCGGCCUGAGAGGGUGACCGGCCACACUGGGACUGAGACACGGCCCAGACUCCUACGGGAGGCAGCAGUGGGGAAUAUUGCACAAUGGGCGAAAGCCUGAUGCAGCGACGCCGCGUGAGGGAUGACGGCCUUCGGGUUGUAAACCUCUUUCAGUAGGGAAGAAGCGAAAGUGACGGUACCUGCAGAAGAAGCACCGGCUAACUACGUG